GUUUGGUCCCGUGCUACCUGUCGGUGGGCUCAGUCCACCCUCGCCCCUUCGAUCGAUUCCGUGGCCCUUUGUGCGCGGACUUCGGGUUGCAUCCCCCCGCAAAUAUUGCGGCAACGCGGCCGUGCUUCCACGGACUUGGACCCCGUAGGAUGGCUCGAUUGGGCUCUCCUUCCCUGUCCGUGGUAUCGGUCCCUCCCCACAUUUUCUCUCGAUUACGUGGCCGGGCGCCCGCGGACAUCGGAUGGUGUUCGUUGUUGGGGCCNN
rnacentral:lncRNA from 1 species